rfam:Caenorhabditis tropicalis strain JT1373 unplaced genomic scaffold Scaffold575, whole genome shotgun sequence.
CCAACGGCCCUCUUUAGGGCCACAUAUUAUAAAAAUCCUCCAAUAU